rnacentral:tRNA from 1 species
AGCGGGAUAGAGCAGCCAGGAGUGCUCGCCGGGCCCAUAACCCGGAGGUCGGUGGUUCAAAUCCACCUCCCGCUA